rnacentral:rRNA from 1 species
GAUGAACGCUGGCGGCGUGCCUAAUACAUGCAAGUCGAGCGAACGGACGAGAAGCUUGCUUCUCUGAUGUUAGCGGCGGACGGGUGAGUAACACGUGGAUAACCUACCUAUAAGACUGGGAUAACUUCGGGAAACCGGAGCUAAUACCGGAUAAUAUUUUGAACCGCAUGGUUCAAAAGUGAAAGACGGUCUUGCUGUCACUUAUAGAUGGAUCCGCGCUGCAUUAGCUAGUUGGUAAGGUAACGGCUUACCAAGGCAACGAUGCAUAGCCGACCUGAGAGGGUGACCGGCCACACUGGAACUGAGCCACGGUCCAGACUCCUACGGGAGGCAGCAGUAGGGAAUCUUCCGCAAUGGGCGAAAGCCUGACGGAGCAACGCCGCGUGAGUGAUGAAGGUCUUCGGAUCGUAAAACUCUGUUAUUAGGGAAGAACAUAUGUGUAAGUAACUGUGCACAUCUUGACGGUACCUAAUCAGAAAGCCACGGCUAACUACGUG